rnacentral:rRNA from 1 species
UACAGAGGUGGCAAGCGUUGUUCGGAAUUACUGGGCGUAAAGCGUGCGUAGGCGGUUCGUUAAGUCUGUCGUGAAAGCCCUGGGCUCAACCUGGGAAUGGCGAUGGAUACUGGCGAGCUAGAGUGUGAUAGAGGAUGGCGGAAUUCCCGGUGUAGCGGUGAAAUGCGUAGAGAUCGGGAGGAACAUCUGUGGCGAAGGCGGCCAUCUGGAUCAACACUGACGCUGAGGCACGAAAGCGUGGGGAGCAAACAGG